ensembl:miRNA
GUUAUUAGGUUAGUGCAAAAGUAAUUGCAGUUUUUGCAAUCACUUUCAAUGGCAAAAACCGAAAUUACUUUGGCACCAAC